UACGUAGGGCGCAAGCGUUAUCCGGAAUUAUUGGGCGUAAAGAGCUCGUAGGCGGUUUGUCGCGUCUGCCGUGAAAGUCCGGGGCUCAACUCCGGAUCUGCGGUGGGUACGGGCAGACUAGAGUGAUGUAGGGGAGACUGGAAUUCCUGGUGUAGCGGUGAAAUGCGCAGAUAUCAGGAGGAACACCGAUGGCGAAGGCAGGUCUCAGGGCAUUAACUGACGCUGAGGAGCGAAAGCAUGGGGAGCGAACAGG
rnacentral:rRNA from 1 species